CAACUAUAAUAACAGUUGAUUUUGUAUCAUUCCUUUAAUACUAUAUAUAACGACUGAUUUUGUUGUAAUUCAAGAUGACAAACACUACGAAAAGCACAGAUGUUGACGAAGUGAAUGAUCCAUCUCAAAACUCUUCCUCAAUGUUCGUAAAGAGACGCGGCACCACUGACAAAGGCAAAGACUACGAACACCUCUACAUUGCUAGC